AUUAGCCAAAGCGCAUGCGCAGUACUAAGCCCGCGUUUGUUCUACAGGUAGCUGCAUUGACGCUAGGUUUACACGGCUGGGCUCAGAGACUUUAGCAUCUGCAGCUGUAUGGUUGUUAUUUCCAUGUAUAAACAACACGAGAGAGUUUUCUAAUUCACCCGCGAUGUUAGCAGUACAUUUCGAGCUGUUCCAAAACAAGCAGGAAUCUGAAACAGAAACAAGAGCAAAAUCCACAUCCGUCUGUUUGCACAGAUGUCUGACAAUCCAGCGUUGUGAAAACUACCCAAGCUGAGCACAUUUCUGCAGCUUUACACAAAACGAGGAGCUUUGAUUAUCCAUAACCUGUAUAAUGGAGCUGUGGCAGCAGCGGCUGUGGUUUGGAGCGCGUCUGGAGGCCGGAUGGGGAACGCUGCGGUCUGGACUGGGGUCCCACUGGGGGAAAAGGGACUCGGAGGUGAGACGCAGAAAAUAAGGCAGAGAUUGGGGUCAACUCUCAGCACGCUAAACCUUUAGCCCUUCACUUUACACCGCUUCGCCUCAAGAAGACAAUUUAACACAUGAUAUAUUACAUAUACAUAACACAACAUGUCCUUAAAAUCCCUGUUUUCAAGAGGAAUUAAAUUCAGAAGUGUUCAAACUAUUCUCCCACUUUACCACAGUCAGCAUGAUGCUUAUAUGAACUCAAAUUAUUGGCAGACCAAAUGCUCCGAUAAAUACUAUAGUAAAUACUAUAGUGUUUUUAAACCGUACAAUCAUACAAAGUAUUUUACUGUAUGUAUUAUUGUAGUUAAACUCUGUUGAUGAAUACUACAGCGUAACUGUAGUAAACUGUAAUAAAUAUUGUAGUAUACUUAAAUUUUUACUAUGUGCU